CCAACCUCGUGGCGCUAAUGUUUUAAUCUCUGACUUUCUCCAGUGUUACAUUUGUUUGUAGAACAAAAACACAGAAAACAAAAUCUAAGUUCACUAGAUCUAUCUAGAAAUCAAUGAUAACACAAACAGUAGACACUAAUACAUCAGGUGAUUAAAAAAUGGAUGUAGUUCUUCAUCAUGGACGAACAUUAAAUCUCUAACAGAAAUCAAACAAAAUGUAAGAAAUUUGACACAGUGAGCAUCAGACCAAGCGGUGACAGGCACUCCAAGGCAUUCAACUCUAAUAGGCUCUCUAAUUCUCCAGUAGAUCUAAUCUAUUAGGUACAAAGAGUCUGGGUGACAAUCAGAGAAAUUUAAAUUGGACAAACAUGACUACACAUUCUGUAUAAUGUCAAUACUAUGCAUAACGCGUUAGGAAUAAAUUCAUAUUUUCAACCUUUAUUAGGGUUUGAGAAUUGAAUGUGUGAUAGCCCCCAAUUGUUACGAACAUGUUAACUAUCAUAUUUUUAUCAUAACAAAAAUAAUACUAACAAUAAUUCACUUCAAAACAAAUCUUAAAAAAAAUAAUAAUUCACACUUGGGCCAGUAACAAAUAAAGCGAACAACCAAUGAACACAAUACAUAUAUAUAUAUAUAUAUAUAUAU